UACAGAGGCCUCGAGCGUUAGGCGGAAUCACUGGGCUUAAAGCGUGUGUAGGCGGACUUCUAAGUACCUUGUGAAAUCCCACGGCUCACCCGUGGAACUGCUGGGUAUACUGGUCGCCUUGAGCCUUCUAGGGGCUACCGGAACAAAUGGUGGAGCGGUGAAAUGCGUAGAUAUCAUUUGGAACGCCAAUGGUGAAAACAGGUAGCUGGGGAAGUGCUGACGCUGAGACACGAAAGCCAGGGGAGCGAACGGG
rnacentral:rRNA from 1 species